ensembl:snoRNA
GUACCCCCUUUCACUUUGCCAAUUGGACUUGUCUUUGUUGGCCAUUCAAGUGGGGCAAAGGAAAUACCUUUAUAAAACCCAGGCAAACUUAGUGUUUGUCUUGUAGCUUGUCAAGGGAAACAUUG